CAGCCGCCACGGUAAUACGAAGGGUGCAAGCGUUAAUCGGAAUUACUGGGCGUAAAGCGUGCGUAGGCGGUUUGUUAAGUCUGUUGUGAAAUCCCCGGGCUCAACCUGGGAAUGGCAAUGGAUACUGGGUCACUAGAGUGUGGUAGAGGAUAGUGGAAUUUCCGGUGUAGCAGUGAAAUGCGUAGAGAUCGGAAGGAACAUCUGUGGCGAAGGCGACUAUCUGGGCCAACACUGACACUGAGGCACGAAAGCGUGGGGAGCAAACAGGAUUAGAUACCCCUGUAGUCCCUGUCUCUUAUAC
rnacentral:rRNA from 1 species